GACAGAGGGUGCAAGCGUUGUUCGGAAUCAUUGGGCGUAAAGCGCACGUAGGCGGUUUGGUAAGUCAGAUGUGAAAGCCCAGGGCUCAACCCUGGAAGUGCAUCUGAUACUGCCUGACUUGAGUCUCGGAGAGGGUGGUGGAAUUCCUGGUGUAGAGGUGAAAUUCGUAGAUAUCAGGAGGAACACCGGUGGCGAAGGCGACCACCUGGACGAAGACUGACGCUGAGGUGCGAAAGCGUGGGGAGCAAACAGG
rnacentral:rRNA from 1 species